UGGCUCUCGCAUCGAUGAAGAACGCAGCGAAAUGCGAUAAGUAAUGUGAAUUGCAGAUUUCAGUGAAUCAUCGAAUCUUUGAACGCACCUUGCACCCUUUGGUAUUCCGAAGGGUAUGCCUGUUUGAGUGUCAUUAAAUUCUCAAACCUUUGACUUUAUUGUUGGAGGAUUUGGAUGUGGGAGUCUUUGCUGGACGCUCUUGAGUGGUCAGCUCUCCUUAAAUGCAUUAGCGGUUACUGAUUCUCGCUACUUGGUGUUGAUAGUCUAUCUUACAUCCUGUAGUUGAAGUCAACUUAUGUAUCUGCUUCUAAUCGUCGCUCUGUUGUGACAAUCUAUUGACUAUUUGACCUCAAAUCAGGUAGGACUACCCGCUGA
rnacentral:misc_RNA from 1 species